rnacentral:lncRNA from 1 species
CCUCACCUCCUCCCUGCCCUUUCCGCCUGACCGCCGAGCUCCGGUUCGCCUCCUAGCGCCGUCCUCAUGCAGCCAUCUGCCAGCAGACAAGCUUUGCGAGGUACGUGAUCUGAUACAUGGUGCUCAUCUUUAACACACUAGACUGGAGCGUCUCAUCUGGUGGAUCCCAUGCAGAUGCAUGGAGAGAUGGACCUCGAGCUGCACGCGAUGGCGCCGGGCUAGCACAAGGCAGAGCACCCUGGCCGUGGCCGGCAAGGAGGCGCGCAAGAUGGGCGCUUCGGUGCCCACUGGUUGCCAUCCGAACUGCAACCGCCAUCCCCGUCUCCCCUUCUUAGGUGCUCCCCUCCGCGUUUUAACUUUUACCCCGAGGUGCUACAGAAGAGACGCCCUAUGGGGAGCUAACGUGGAGGAGCGGGCGGCCGCUCGAGGCACAACAUCCUGUUGCAGGCGAGGUGAGUCUCGAUGCUGAUGUUGGUCACCAACGAGGUCUUCGGAGCGGAAGUCCAGGCGAGGUGGAUUUCGCCGGCGAGGCCCUCUCCGUUCUUCCUCUUGUGUGCGUCUUGGGUAGGAGGCAGGGCCAGCAGGGCCCGAAGGCGGUGCCUAGCCCUCCAGGCCACUGAGGCGGGACGGCGAGGUGCCGAGGGCGCGCGGUGCGGCUUGCGCUGGGACUCGUGCUCCGCCGCCAUGGCGACGGCCAGCGCAGGACAUGCGUGACACUGGGAGCCAAGCAUGAGGCUCUGGAGUGGCUCAUGCAGCGCGUCGCGCGCGGCGGUGCCGGUGGCUUGCAGUUGCAGGUUGACCGUGGGCGGUGGGCCUCGGGCAGAGCUCACAUGUGGUUGCGGCGGGCGAUGAGACAAACGAUGUCGAGGCAUCAGGCCGCUGGCGCUGGGUAUCGACGUAACGGGGCUCCUUUCCCUUGCAGAAGCGGGCACCGUCUCUCUACAUCUUACAUCUGGAUGUAGCGGGACAUAGCGAGCCCCGGAGCGGCCACUCGAUUGACGGAGCCACCUCCCAAGGCUCCUCGGCCAUCACCUUCCCCAUGACAGCCCUCGCGCGACUCCACGCAGGCCGUUCAGCUCAGCAGUCCUCUCGAGGAGAAUACACUGUCGACAAUGGUAGCGUCCACACAGCCUGGCUGCUUAGCUUAUGCCACGAAGGGACGUACGCCAUAGUCAUGCACAGAGUGGUCGGUGAGUUUCCGUGGAUACAACGGUUACGAAUCUGCAGGCUAGCGUCCACACAGCUUGGCUGCUAUUUAUGACUGUCGGUGUAGCCUUCAAACUUCACAGCAAGGUCGUAUGUAGCAGACCGUACAUGUACACUCAUAUAAAUGGACCGUGGAAUUGGAUUAUGGUUGUUGGCAUUACUUCAACUAUUUUAUGCAGUCCUUCAUUGAUUCUAGGAACUGAAUAACAUUUUUGUGAGGAAUCGAUGAAUAGCAAUUUGAUAAGUAUUGUGAGUGUGUAAGCAACGCAUUCACAACUCCAAAGCAGCUGAGCCGCAGCUCAGAAACUCUUGUUUCAUAAAAGAUUAGAGUUGUUUCAUAAAAGAUUAGAGUGAAAGACUUUGGCGAAUGAUUGUUUCAGCAAAACCUGAUUAACUGACUAACUUAAGAGUGUUUUAAAAGUCUUUCACUCUGGUUUGAGAACGGUGCGCCGGCCGAAGCUUGGGCCGGUCGCACCGCUCGAUCGCUCACACAUCCUGGCUACUAAGCCCACUUGCACAUCACGUGACCGCUCAGCCUCGUCUUAUCCUUUCCCCACCGCUGUUGACCACUCUUUCCUUUCUCCUUCUUCCACAAGACGCUUCUCUUUCUCCUCCUCUUCCAUCUCCCCCGCCGGCGUAACUCCUCCGCUGAGCUUUUCCCCCUCCUCUCCGCUCCUCAGGCGAGCUAAGGCAACGAAUCUGUCUCCUGGCGAGAGAAUCCGGCGAGCGUGAUUCUACAGCGGCGCCCAGCGAGCUGCAACGGCACCCUGCACUGCGCGCCACGAGAUGCUACAACGGCGCCCCGACGAGCUGGAAUCGAUGUUUACCUACACUGUGCCCCGGUGCGGCGUGCUGCAACCGGCCACGGAGGAGCUGGAACCGCUGUUGUGGCGUGUUGCGACCCACGACGAGAAGUGCUACCACGGGCAUAAGGCAGGCGAGCACGAUCCCACGAUGCUGGAACCAGUGAUUCAUUUUGCUGGAAGCAGCAAAAAAAAUUGCUGGAACCGGCGUUCUUUCCCCACCUUGCAAUGGGGGCUUGGCGAGCAAAAUUGCUACAACCGGCGAUCUGGUUUGCUGGAACCCAACAAUAUUUUUGCUGGUACCUUUUUCCUUUUUGAGCUGUAACGGUUUCUUUUGCUGGAAUCAUCAUUUGACUUUUGCUGGAACCAAUGCAUUAUUUUGUUGGAACCGAUGCAUUUUUUGCUUCAUCGGCUACUAAGUUCUCAUAUGCUCAGGUCAUUCUUUUUUCCAAUCGGAGAACCAGUCCAUUUGAUUUUGUUGGCACCGGCUUUUUUUUUUGCUACAACCGGCAAGUUUUUUGCUGGAUUGGUGACAUAUUUGAUUGAGACCGUCGGCAGGGACAUCAUGUUUUCCCAGACAAUUUUGCUGGCACCAUUUUUUUGGUUUGCUACAACCGGCAAUGUGUUUUGCUGGAACUAUGUUCCUUUUUUGCUACCAUACAAUUUCUAAGUUUUUGCUGGAAAUCAACGCCAAAUUAUUGCAUUUUGCUACAACUAGCGUUUUGAUUUGCUAGAACCGGCUCCAUUUUUUGGUACUACGGGUGUUUUUGGGUUUGCUGGAACCAUUGUUGUUUUUGCUACCACGAUGAGCCAUGGCAUCAUCACCAUCGAUUUUGCUGGUGGGUGAGGGGGAGGGGACGGGAAGGGGAGGGGCAGGCUGGGCAACACCGGCGAGCGGCGCACGGGAGGCUACUGCCGACUGUGAGGGGGACGGACGCAUGCUGCACAAUGCGGAAGGGGAGGGGGGCAGCCGCCAUGGCUCCCUAUGGUUUUUCUUCUCAGCUCAAAAAAGACGACUGGAGACGACGGCGGCG